CAGAGACGGAACUUUCCGUCGUGUUCAGAACCGCUUUAAAAUAACGCACGCCCAUGAGUUUAAUCCUGGAGUCGGAAGAUGAGUCAGAAGUGUGUGUGUGAGACGGCGAGUUCGAUUUCAUGCUGAAGUUCCAUUCGAUCAGGGAUUAAUGAGACGAUGUUGACUGUGAGCGAGGCUGCGUUCAGACGCUCGGUAUCGUGGAAUAACCCGGGCUCAUUUCUGCCACUACAUCAUUUAACACAUGGGUUCAAAUAUAGAACUGUAACGAUACGAUCGAAUCCAACGUCAUCAUCAUUCACUCAUUACCACCAUCACUACCACCAUCAUUACCACCAUCACUACCACCAUCAUUACCACCAUCACUACCACCAUCACCCACACCAUCAUUAACACCAUCACUACCACCAUCAUUACCACCAUCACUACCACCAUCACUACCACCAUCACUACCACCAUCACUACCACCAUCACCCACACCAUCAUUAACACCAUCACUACCACCAUCAUUACCACCAUCACUACCACCAUCAUUACCACCAUCACCCACACCAUCAUUAACACCAUCACUACCACCAUCAUUACCACCAUCACUACCACCAUCAUUACCACCAUCAUUUACACCAUCACUACCACCAUCACUACCACCAUCAUUACCACCAUCACUACCACCAUCACUACCACCAUCAUUAACCACCAUCACCCACACCAUCAUUACCACCAUCAUUUACACCAUCACUACCACCAUCACUACCACCAUCAUUACCACCAUCACUACCACCAUCAUUACCACCAUCAUUUACACCAUCACUCACUCAUUAACACCAUCACUACCACCAUCAUUACCACCAUCACUCACU
ensembl:lncRNA